GUUGCAGUUAAGUAUGAAGCACGUCUUGAUGAUGGAACACUUGUAACGAAAUCUGAUGGAGUGGAGUUCACAGUUAAAGAAGGUCAUUUUUGUCCUGCUUUGUCAAAGGCUGUUAAAACCAUGAAGAAGGGAGAGAGAGUUAUUUUGACUGUGAAGCCACAAUAUGGAUUUGGUGAGAAGGGUAAACCAGC